AAAUUUAGCUGCAUUUCAGCUAAAGUGAGGACGCUCAGUGCUGGAUGUCGAGCUUGUCCAGGCGAUUAACCAUGGCCAGAUCUGACAUAUUCCUCCUGCUGAGGGACUGGUGCAGAAGUUCAAGGGAACUGCAGACAUGCUGAAGUUAUAAAACGUUAAAAAAAUACAGGUACAAUGUAUUCUGUUGAUUACAUAUGCGUAACUAUAUACAUGUACACAUUCUGUGUUAAAAUAUGAGUGCUGUAAAAUUCCCAUGGUUAACUAGUACUGAUUUAGCAAUCCAGCCUUAAUUAUGAUCACCUGUGUUACAGAUGCAUAUCAACAUAAUUUACCCAAAUGGCCGUUUUUGUGUCCGGCCCACGAGUGAAAGAAGCGUUCUUUAGAAGUGGUGUUACGCUUAAGGAGGUGGACUUCAUAGUAAAGAGUUGUUAUAAUGUUCGCAGUGUUGCCAUAUGGUAUUUGCUGAUUUUGUUUCCUUAAGUCAAGGAAACAACCGUUCAUAACAAGUGUUGAUGAACAAACUAAAGGAAGUCUCACAUACAUGCAAAUUCAUGCAACAAAUUCUGUAUAUAACUUUAUUCUGGCUCUUAUCUUAAGUAUAAAUGUUGGGAAAAGUGACGGACUGUGCUUCUUGUAUUAUUGUCUAAACCCUGCUAUAUUAGCCAUGACUUGCAUGCGGCAAACAUGUGAGCACUAUGUAUGUACAUGUAAGAAGGCAGCCUUCAUUUUAGAAUUGAUAGUGUUCUUUUUGCCAUUUUAUUGUUCAUGUUUGCCAAAUUUGUGGCAGUGGUUAGAAUGAAUGUAAGAAUGAAAUUCAUAUUCUGUAGUAUUACCCAUUGUCUUCUCUUCCUGCCCAUGUCUCAUACUUGAAAGAAAUAAAGAAUACU